UGUCGGUCCUCUCGCAACGAUAAAUCGUUAACCUGGUCAGGCCUGGAAGGGAGCAGCCACAGCGAUCGACUCGUGUGCCGGGAUGUGGCUGAUGGAG
rfam:'Osedax' symbiont bacterium Rs2_46_30_T18 BD02T18_scaffold_294, whole genome shotgun sequence.